AUGGAGGUGAGGUCCCCCCUUAUCCUCUCUUUAUCUUCACCACAGGCAGCCCUUGACCCCCUUGGAUUCGAUUUGGCAGGCCGUGUGCAGGCGGGGAAGGACAGCGUGGCGCGCCUGGUGCGCGAGCUCGAGGGCGUCGACCUGCUCGUCGAGCACGUCCGCGGCGUCCCUGCCGAGUUCAUCAAGCUCACUGUCCGUGCCCAUGGGGAUUCUGGGCAGAGCGGCUUCUGA
rnacentral:rRNA from 1 species